rnacentral:rRNA from 1 species
AACGAUGAUGCCCAGCUUGCUGGGCGGAUUAGUGGCGAACGGGUGAGUAACACGUGAGUAACCUGCCCCUGACUCUGGGAUAAGCGUUGGAAACGACGUCUAAUACUGGAUAUGAUCACCGGCCGCAUGGUCUGGUGGUGGAAAGAUUUUUUGGUUGGGGAUGGACUCGCGGCCUAUCAGCUUGUUGGUGAGGUAAUGGCUCACCAAGGCGACGACGGGUAGCCGGCCUGAGAGGGUGACCGGCCACACUGGGACUGAGACACGGCCCAGACUCCUACGGGAGGCAGCAGUGGGGAAUAUUGCACAAUGGGCGAAAGCCUGAUGCAGCAACGCCGCGUGAGGGAUGACGGCCUUCGGGUUGUAAACCUCUUUUAGUAGGGAAGAAGCGAAAGUGACGGUACCUGCAGAAAAAGCACCGGCUAACUACGUGCCAGCAGCCGCGGUAAUACGUAGGGUGCAAGCGUUGUCCGGAAUUAUUGGGCGUAAAGAGCUCGUAGGCGGUUUGUCGCGUCUGCUGUGAAAUCCCGAGGCUCAACCUCGGGCUUGCAGUGGGUACGGGCAGACUAGAGUGCGGUAGGGGAGAUUGGAAUUCCUGGUGUAGCGGUGGAAUGCGCAGAUAUCAGGAGGAACACCGAUGGCGAAGGCAGAUCUCUGGGCCGUAACUGACGCUGAGGAGCGAAAGCAUGGGGAGCGAACAGGAUUAGAUACCCUGGUAGUCCAUGCCGUAAACGUUGGGCGCUAGAUGUAGGGACCUUUCCACGGUUUCUGUGUCGUAGCUAACGCAUUAAGCGCCCCGCCUGGGGAGUACGGCCGCAAGGCUAAAACUCAAAGGAAUUGACGGGGGCCCGCACAAGCGGCGGAGCAUGCGGAUUAAUUCGAUGCAACGCGAAGAACCUUACCAAGGCUUGACAUACACCGGAAA